UAAUACCCGAUAGGUCUCGAUUGCUGGAAUGCAUCGAGAUUUAAAGCUCCGGCGCCUAAGGAUGGGUCUGCGGCCUAUCAGGUAGUAGUGGGUGUAGCGUACCUACUAGCCUACGACGGGUACGGGUUGUGAGAGCAAGAGCCCGGAGAUGGAUUCUGAGACACGAAUCCAGGCCCUACGGGGUGCAGCAGGCGCGAAAACUUUACAAUGCUGGCAACAGCGAUAAGGGAACCUCGAGUGCCAGGUUACAAAUCUGGCUGUCGAGAUGCCUAAAAAGCAUUUCAUAGCAAGGGCCGGGCAAGACCGGUGCCAGCCGCCGCGGUAACACCGGCGGCUCGAGUGGUAACCGUUAUUAUUGGGUCUAAAGGGUCUGUAGCCGGCCGGAUAAGUCUCUUGAGAAAUCUGGCAGCUUAACUGUCAGGCUUUCAGGAGAUACUGUCUGGCUCGAGGCCGGGAGAGGUGAGAGGUACUUCAGGGGUAGGGGUGAAAUCUUGUAAUCCUUGAAGGACCACCAGUGGCGAAGGCGUCUCACCAGAACGGACCUGACGGCAAGGGACGAAAGCUAGGGGCACGAACCGGAUUAGAUACCCGGGUAGUCCUAGCCGUAAACGAUACUCGCUAGGUGUCGGCCACGGUGCGACCGUUGUCGGUGCCGUAGGGAAGCCGUGAAGCGAGCCACCUGGGAAGUACGGCCGCAAGGCUGAAACUUAAAGGAAUUGGCGGGGGAGCACCACAACGGGUGGAGCUUGC
rnacentral:rRNA from 1 species